rnacentral:rRNA from 4 species
UUGACCUCAAAUCAGGUAGGACUAC